rnacentral:rRNA from 1 species
CAGUCGCCACGGUAAUACGUAGGGUGCGAGCGUUAAUCGGAAUUACUGGGCGUAAAGCGUGCGCAGGCGGCUUUGCAAGACAGAUGUGAAAUCCCCGGGCUCAACCUGGGAACUGCAUUUGUGACUGCAAGGCUAGAGUGCGGCAGAGGGAGAUGGAAUUCCGCGUGUAGCAGUAAAAUGCGUAGAUAUGCGGAGGAACACCGAUGGCGAAGGCAAUCUCCUGGGCCUGCACUGACGCUCAUGCACGAAAGCGUGGGGAGCAAACAGGAUUAGAUACCCCCGUAGUCCCUGUCUCUUAUAU